rnacentral:lncRNA from 1 species
GCAACUAUAAUCCAUAACCGCAACCACUCCUCGGUAGUCGGCACGCGGAAGGCAGAACUAAUCGAGAGCUUGAAGGCCCUUGCCCACGGCCACCCUCCGCCGCGUUGGAGGGAGGAAACCAGUGGGCGUGCGGGGAGCCUGGCAGGAACCGGCAAAGGUACGGCGAGACUCGAUCAGUUCUGCAAACCUCCAAACCGAAUACUCCGUACUUGCUUUUGUGUGCAGUUUGAAUUCGAUCCCCUACUAUAUGCUCUCGUAUGUGCUGGGCGGGUGUGGAGGAACACUGGACUACUUCAAUUUGGUAUGGUGGAAGUAAUGGGGAUUUACGAAUAGUGCGGCCAUGGUGUUCGUUAGAAUGCACGUACAUUUUUCCAGCUAGUUAAAAGAAGUUCCUCCUGCACCUGUACUGUAAUCUAAAGUAUUUUAAGAACACAAUGUCAGAUUACGGCGCAUAUAGCCUAGUUCACAGUGAACUUUGAUUUUUUUUCCCGGGAAAAGUACAAGGUUAGCUCUUCAACGGCUGAGUGAGCGAUACCUGAGGCUGAAUCCCAAGUUACUUCAGCCAGGCUUCCCCGGCAGUUGGUUGUUGAUCUUUGAGCUUGAAAGGUGAACUUUGCUCA